CCUCCUUAUAUUUUCCUUAAUUUUGUCAGUAGGGUCAAAUACUUUCUGUGGCACACAUCAGAGUCAAAUACUUGCUAGAGAACAAACUUCACUUCAGGACAGGCAACCGAAAUUAAUAAUAAAUGUAUGUGUGUUAUAUUAAACAUAGAGGAGGGAUUGACAGCUUCCUUGAAGGACACAAAUAAAAAAUGCAUUCUGCUACUAAGAUCAGUGAAAACUGAUAACGGAGUGAAAAGCAGAAAUCUCAACUAGCAAGCAAGUCGCAGCAAUGAAGAAUUGAGUGUGUGCGCGUCCACCCAAAGGGAGGAAGAAUUAUGUCGGGGGAGAUUUUCGGUACACCUGUUACCUUCAGAUAAAUUCCCUGGGUCGAAGAGUAAAACGGAGAACUCCAUCGUGUUCGUAAGAGUCUCCCCUUUCCAUAGGUUUUAAUACGAUAAAAUAUCUAAUUUUAUGAGAAACGGCAGAGAAUGGGUGGUUCUGUGUAGCCUAGUUAUGAUAAUAUAGGCUAUUUGACCAAUGCACUGCAGUUAAUUUCGUCUUUGACCUAAUAAGUCAAAUAUAUUUGAGUGUAUUUGAGUAGUAAACAGGUAAACAACAACGAGUCCUAGACAGUUUGCAAUAGAACAUACCAGAGGGGGGCAUUGUUUACUAGGCUACUUAAAUUAUUGGGAGCAUCUGGUUACCAGCAGUGUUCAGAACACAUUGAGUUUAUGACAAAACAGAUCAGAGGACACCUUUUCACACAGAGAUGUAUUUAUAGCAGUGAAUGUCAUGUAUUUCUAAGUAGCAGCCAUAUCAGGCAGGGAAACUAAUUGUUCACAUUUUGAUAGAACAUUCCAAUUUUACAGCUUGACGGUGGCACUCUUUAGCCUACCUGCAUUGUUAGGAUGUUCAUGUGAUCACAACAAAACUACUUAUUGGGCUCAAAUAGAGAUAUAAUUUUUCUUUGAAAAAAUAGGCUUGGCUGAGAAAAGAAGAUUCAGUUUUCUGACCGAGUGUGGCGCCGAUUACAACAAUUUUCUGGAUUCUCUCGUGACCAGAACAAAACUACCUAUUUUACUAGAGAAUGAAAUAAAUGGUGUUUCUUUGAAGAUAUGGGCCUGGCUGACAUUAACUGUUUUCUCACCUUAUUCUCCUUAAGGUGAUCCAUGGUUGUUGGUUAUUUACCAGCUAAGAAGAAGUGAAAAUGAAACAAGGACUGAAGCAAUAGACACCUUAUUUUACAUAAGAGAUUUAAAUUAAUGUUGUUUCUUUGAAAAGGAGGGCCUGGCUGACAUGAAAAAUGCAUUAAAGGGAAAGGAUCCACAGACACACAGGCUGAUUAUCUUCCCGCACAUCUCUUCAUUUACCAUGCUGGCUGCCAUGGUUAACACAAACGCAGGACAUUGAAUGCUACCUGAAUUGACUCAGAAAAGUAACAUAAGUAGGCCUACAGUAUCACAGCGAGGUCAAACAGGGCCUGAGGCUCUGGGACCGUGACUGAGGACACCCUGGCCUGAUACCUCAACAUGCCUGGCCCAAUCCAAGCUGGCCACACUCUACCUCCUACCUGCCUGUUACCAUGACGACUUUGUGAAAAGCGAUCUGACCAUAGGGUCUUGAAUGUAUGCUUUUAUACAGCCUAUAUCUGUGUAUUACAGCAGUCAAAUAGAAAACUGGAAGUGUGACUUCUUUCCCUAAUGAUUUCCUAUGGCUGAGGUAUUUUGUUAGUUAUCAGGUAUUUCAUACCAAGGCUAAAUGAGCCUGAAUGGCAACAACACCAGACACAAAUGCAAUGCACCUAAUUAAUCUCAUUGUUAAAUGACUGUUCAGUCUGUUGAAUAUUCCAUUAAUGAAAAUAUGGAUUUGUUGGCUGAAUUAAGGUUUUAUUAAAACUUCAAAAAGGUCACACACAAUACGGUACAUUUAUAAAAUAAAUUUACAAGAAAAGUAAUUUACAA